AAGUACUAACAGAGAAGAAACCAGACUAUUAAGUCUUUUAAUUUAAGUUUUCUUUUCCUUGGGAAAAAGAAAAAUACAGGAGUUAUAUUUAUUACAAAGUGACUAGUGUCUUACAUGUAAACAAUUCCCUAACGUGAAAUGAUGCACGUCCUUCUAGGACAAGUCCACUGAGUCUUGUAAUUGCAAGAAUCCCUGAGGAGAUAAAGCAGAGGGGUCCAGGAGUCUUUCCAUGAGAAACUUCGAGGAGCUUUUUGCCUUGAGUUGAAUCCAACAAUAAGAAAACAUAUACAAAGUAACUGCUAACACACCACUGUAAUCCUCUGAUCUUGGCUACAUGAGGAGGUAUGAUCCCUAACACAAGAUAACAUUUCUUACCAGAAACGAAUAUAUUGCUUAUUUCCUUUUUCCUGUGCCAA
rnacentral:misc_RNA from 1 species